rnacentral:tRNA from 1 species
GUGGGUAUGGCUCAGCAGUAGAGCACAUGCUUAGCAUGUGCAAGGUCCUGGGUUCAAUCCCCAGCGCCUUCA